AGUGGCGGACGGGUGAGUAACGCGUGGGUAACCUGCCUCAUACAGGGGGCUAACAGUUAGAAAUGACUGCUAAUACCGCAUAAGACCACAGCACCGCAUGGUGCAGGGGUAAAAACUCCGGUGGUAUGAGAUGGACCCGCGUCUGAUUAGGUAGUUGGUGGGGUAACGGCCUACCAAGCCGACGAUCAGUAGCCGACCUGAGAGGGUGACCGGCCACAUUGGGACUGAGACACGGCCCAA
rnacentral:rRNA from 1 species